GGUGGGUAGCUCAGUAGAAGAGUGCUCAUCUAGCAUGUGAAAGGCCCAGGGUUCAAUUCCUUGCACUACCA
rnacentral:tRNA from 1 species